rnacentral:sRNA from 20 species
UGUUGGAACUAUUCGAAACAACACAGCAAGUUAAAAUAAGGCUUUGUCCGUACACAUUUUGGCACCCGAUUCGGGUGCGUUUUU